rnacentral:rRNA from 1 species
UACGUAGGGCGCAAGCGUUAUCCGGAAUUAUUGGGCGUAAAGAGCUCGUAGGCGGUCUGUCACGUCGGCUGUGAAAACCCGAGGCUCAACCUCGGGCCUGCGGUCGAUACGGGCAGGCUAGAGUUCGGUAGGGGAGACUGGAAUUCCUGGUGUAGCGGUGAAAUGCGCAGAUAUCAGGAGGAACACCGGUGGCGAAGGCGGGUCUCUGGGCCGAUACUGACGCUGAGGAGCGAAAGCGUGGGGAGCGAACAGG